rnacentral:rRNA from 1 species
CGGGCCCCUAGAGCGGCGGACGGGUGAGUACACGUGGACAAUCUGCCCCCGGCCCGGGAUAGCCCAGGGAAACCUGGAUUAAUACCGGAUGAGACGGGACCCGCGAUGGCGGGACCCGGGAAAGGCGCUGCGGCGCCGCCGGGGGAUGAGUCUGCGUCCCAUUAGCUAGACGCGGGGUAACGGCCCACCGUGGCGACGGAUGGGUAGCCGGCCUGAGAGGGUGGACGGCACAUUGGAACUGAGACACGGUCCAGACUCCUACGGGAGGCAGCAGCUAAGAAUCUUCCGCAAUGGGCGAAAAGCCUGACGGAGCGACGCCCGGCGUGAACGAAGAAGGCCGUGAGGUUGUAAAGUUCUUUUCGGGAGGGGGAACAACCGUGGCAGGGAAUGGCCGCGGGAUGACGUGAAUCCCGGAAUAAGCCCCGGCUAACUACGUGCCAGCAGCUGC